rnacentral:rRNA from 1 species
AGCGAACGCUGGCGGCAGGCUUAACACAUGCAAGUCGAGCGGCCGUAGCAAUACGGCAGCGGCAGACGGGAGAGUAACACGUGGGAACGUACCCUUCAGUACGGAACAACCAAGGGAGACUUUGGCUAAUACCGUAUACGUCCGUAAGGAGAAAGAUUUAUCGCUGAAGGAUCGGCCCGCGUCCGAUUAGCUAGUUGGUGAGGUAACGGCUCACCAAGGCGACGAUCAGUAGCUGGUCUGAGAGGAUGAUCAGCCUCACUGGGACUGAGACACGGCCCAGACUCCUACGGGAGGCAGCAGUGGGGAAUAUUGGACAAUGGGCGCAGGCCUGAUCCAGCCAUGCCGCGUGGAUGAUGAAGGCCCUAGGGUUGUAAAGUCCUUUUAACGGGGAAGAUAAUGACGGUACCCGUAGAAUAAGCCCCGGCUAACUUCGUGCCAGCAGCCGCAGUAA